GACGAACCGUGCGAACGUUGUUCGGAAUCACUGGGCUUAAAGGGCGCGUAGGCGGGCGGCCAAGUCGGUGGUGAAAUCCCCCAGCUCAACUGGGGAACUGCCUUCGAUACUGGUCGCCUCGAGGGGGGUAGGGGCAGACGGAACUUCCGGUGGAGCGGUGAAAUGCGUAGAUAUUGGAAAGAACACCGAUGGCGAAGGCACUUUACUGGGCUAUUACUAACACUCAGAGACGAAAGCUAGGGUAGCAAAUGGG
rnacentral:rRNA from 1 species